rnacentral:misc_RNA from 1 species
CGGAGACAAAGAGAAGCAUGGUCGUCAAUACUAACUCCUUUGCCAAGACUAUUUGUUCUAUCUGCUACGAAGAUCUCAAGCCCGUCGUCGAAGAUCUCCAGGCCAUCUCCAUCUGUGGCCAUGUCUUCCACGAACUCUGCUUGCAGCAAUGGUUCGAAUAUUGCUCGAACUCAAAGAAGUGCAGCUGUCCCGUGUGCAAGCAGAGCUGCUCGGGAAUCAAUGUCGUUCGGCUUUACUUCCAAUCACUGGGGGAUCAAAACGAACCGUUUAUGUCCCAGAAGGUAAAUGAUUGCAAGGAGGAUCCUGAGCUAUUGCUUGGAGAGGUGAGAAGAUUGGAGGUCAAAGUGUCAGGCCUCACUUCAAAUUUGGAGCGUCAAGGGAAGGAAAUCCAACAGCUUAAUGAGGAGUUGUACAUCUGCAAGGACCAGUUGAAGAAAGAAGUCAUAUUGAAGAAUGAUGCCAUGGAACAAAAGACUUCAACUCAGCAACUGCUUAUUUCAAAAUCUAAGGAGCUUGAUUCUCUGAAGUCGGAGUGCUUAAGGCUGCAAGACAGGAACAUGGCCUUGGCCAAAGAGCUUGCAGCUCUUAAACUGGUAUCUGAUCUGAACCUGGAGGAAGAUGAAAUUUUAAAGCUUGCAUCUUUUGGUAAUGAGGCCAACAACAAAGAUACGAUAGAUAUUCUAAGGAAGUCCUUGGUCAUUCGUAAUGUGAGUUACAAAGAAUUAAUGGCCAAGUGCAAUCAACUUGGAAGGGGCGAGGCACGUUCCUGUAAAAAGCUUGAGAAGGCAAAAGAAAAGAUAAAUAAACUUAAGACGAAGGUCAAAGAACUUGAGAUGGUGGUUGAAGUAAAGGAUAAUGCAGCUUUGAGGGCUUUAAAAGCCUCAAAGAAGGUUGAUUGUAAAGAGGAUGCUGUAAAUGGUACAAAUGUCAAUUCAAAUGAUUUUUCCACCUGUCAUUUUUUCUCAGAAGAUCAAAAGGAAAACCAUUCUAAAUCUGUGGUUAAAUUGGAUCAAACUGGAAAAUUGAACGGUGACCAAGGAAAUUUCAAUAUCAUUAAUGACAUGGGUGCCAUUUCCACCAAAGAGCAGACAAGCACCAUGGCUCUUAAUAAGGAGAGAAAUACUUGCUUUAUGCUAGAUGAGGCUGCUUCAGAAUUUCCUACAGUGCAUGUACUUUCAAAUACCGAUUCAAAAUAUCAAAACAGUGAAGAUGUGAAGUAUACAAUUGCUAAGUCAGAAGCAAUCUCUAACAUCAACAGCAAAGCUAAAGUGAAAGGACUAGCUAACCCAGGCGGCUUUUCUGGUAUAAUACCUUGCAUCAACAGGGAUAAAGGCAACACUUUGGCUGCUUCUACUGACGAGGAAGUUACCUUGAUUCUUGAUGAUGUCAAACAUGUUCAACCUAUGCUCAACAUUAAAAAAGAAUCCCCAUCCCUAGUUCCACUUUCCAGUCCAGGGAAUAUAUGCUUUUCUGGUGGGUUGCUGGGUCCUGAUGGAUCAAAUCGGUAUCUGGGGAAAUGGUGCAAGCGUGGCCAAAAUAAGGGAUCAGUGGCCUUGCCAGGUACAAGCGGUAGUGGUAGGGGGGAUUUAAUUGCAGUUGGAUCAGAUGGAAGAGGUGGUAGAAUUAAAGUUCUGAGGUCCCUGAAUCCAUCCUCAAUGGAUACUAAGGAAAGUUCUGCAACUGCAAAGAGGUGCAAGUAUGGAACCAAAGCAAGUAAUUUGCAGUCUCAAGGUUGUUUGCAAAUAGAACACUUCUUUGGGAAGGCCACUCAUUAAUCAAAGGUUUGCAUGUUUCAGUGGUGGUUUCUUGAGGCUGAGGAAAAAAAAUGUAGUUCAGUUAUGUUGUCUGGAUAUUUGGAACGAAGACACUUCGGGUUUAUUAAUUAGAUUUUCAUCUUCCGACCUCUUGGCCUUCCGUAAUUUAAUCCAGUGGCAAAAUUGUUGAUGCUUUCGUAAGUUUGCAGUCUACCACCACGACCAUAUCUUCAAAUGAUGUCAGGCAAUCUUUUCGGAUUACAGGAUUAACUUAUUCAUUAGAAAAAAGAUGGCCUCCUGUUUUGAGUUUUGACUACUGUCCCUGUUAAAAGCCCCCUUUUGUUUAUAAAAAAAUAUUUUUCCUAUGUAUAGUAUUUUAUUAGCCUAUGAAUAAUAUUUUGUUUACCCUUUGUGAUGAUUCUGAUGGGAUUGAUGGCCCAAUUGGGCCGAUAACAAUCUGCAAAUGAUAUAUGAUAUA